AGAGUUUGAUCAUGGCUCAGAACGAACGCUGGCGGCGUGCUUAACACAUGCAAGUCGAGUGCGCGGUUGUAGCAAUACAACUGGCGCACGGCGCACGGGUGCGUAACACGUGGGCAAUCUGCCCUCCGAUGGGGAAUAACCCGCCGAAAGGCGGGCUAAUACCGCAUAACAUUCCUUGGACUUCGGUUCGAGGAUUCAAAACCGCAAGGUGUCGGAGGAGGAGCCCGCGCCCGAUUAGCUAGUUGGUGGGGUAACGGCCCACCAAGGCAAUGAUCGGUAGCUGGUCUGAGAGGAUGGCCAGCCACACUGGAACUGAGACACGGUCCAGACUCCUACGGGAGGCAGCAGUGGGGAAUCUUGCACAAUGGGCGAAAGCCUGAUGCAGCGACGCCGCGUGGGGGAUGAAGCAUCUCGGUGUGUAAACCCCUUUCGACCCGGAAGAAUGCCUCGCAAGAGGACGGACGGUACGGGUAUAAGAAGCCCCGGCUAACUACGUGCCAGCAGCCGCGGUAAGACGUAGGGGGCCAGCGUUGUUCGGAAUUACUGGGUGUAAAGGGUUCGUAGGCGGUGCGGCAAGUUGGGAGUGAAAUCUCUGGGCUCAACCCAGAGGCUGCUUCCAAAACUGCUGUGCUUGAGUGUGGGAGAGGCGCGUGGAAUUGCAGGUGUAGCGGUGAAAUGCGUAGAUAUCUGCAGGAACACCCGUGGCGAAAGCGGCGCGCUGGACCACUACUGACGCUGAGGAACGAAAGCUAGGGGAGCAAACAGGAUUAGAUACCCUGGUAGUCCUAGCCCUAAACGAUCAGGACUUGGGGUGCCACCCGUUCGGGUGUCGUCCCGGAGCUAACGCGUUAAGUCCUGCACCUGGGGAGUACGGUCGCAAGACUGAACUCAAGGAAUUGACGGGGGCCCGCACAAGCGGUGGAACAUGUGGUUCAAUUCGACGUUACGCGAGGAACCUUACCUGGGCUCGAAAUGCUGGUGACCAGCUGUAGA
rnacentral:rRNA from 1 species